UGCUUUCGUGAUUUUGUCGUU
rnacentral:piRNA from 1 species